CUAACAAGGAUUUUCUUAGUAGCGGCGAGCGAAAAGAAAUCAGUUCAGCACUAAGUCACUUUAUCUUUAUGGUAAAUGUGAGAUGCAGUGUAUGGAACGUCUUAAAUCUAAUAUGAGAAAUUAACGAUUUAAGUCCUUCUUAAAUGAGGCCAUUUACCCAUAGAGGGUGCCAGGCCCGUAUAACGUUAAUGAUUAUUAGAAGACGUUUCCUAAGAGUCGUGUUGCUUGAUAGUGCAGCACUAAGUUGGUGGUAAACUCCAUCUAAAACUAAAUAUAACCAUGAGACCGAUAGCAAACAAGUACCGUGAGGGAAAGUUGAAAAGAACUCUGAAUAGAGAGUUAAAUAGUACGUGAAACUGCUUAGAGGUUAAGCCCGAUGAACCUGAAUAUCCAUUAUGGAAAAUUCAUCAUUAAAAUUGUAAUUAAUAUAAUUUUAUUAUUAUAUUGUUAUAAUGAUAGUGUGCAUUUUUUCCAUAUAAGGACAUUGUAAUCUAUUAAUAUAUAUACAAAAAUAUUUAUCAUAAAAUCAUGAGAUUAUAGUUUAAUCAAAUUAUUUUGUCAUUAACGUGUCAUUAUAACAUAGAUUAAAUUCUUAUUGAUUUGAUAAAGUAUUGAUAGAUUUAUCAUAUAUACGAUGCUUUAAUUUCUUUAUUGAAAUUAUAUAAUAUCAUAUUGAUCAUUGAUUUAUAUGUUCAUUAUAUGCAUUUGUAUGAUUAACAAUGCGAAAGAUUCAGGAUACCUUCGGGACCCGUCUUGAAACACGGACCAAGGAGUCUAACAUAUAUGCAAGUCAUUGGGAUUUUAUAAACCUAAUGGCAUAAUUAACUUGACUAUUAUAUUAAAUGGGAUUAGUUUUGAAUUAUAUUUUUUAUUAAAUAUGUUUUUAACACAAUCCCGGGGCGUUCUAUAUGGUUAUGUAUAAUGAUAUUU
rnacentral:rRNA from 1 species